GGGAUGUCUGUUCCAUUUAAGAUAUACAACUCCUGUACAGAUAACAUGGUGACAGAACUCCAAACGUUUCUCAUUCUUUCUACUUUGCAUGGCCACACAUUCUUCCCUUCACCCCUGUCCCCCGCCACGUCCCUUGGUUUUCAACCGGUUGAAGUGCGAAGAAGUGGCCAAGGAGUGAGGAUGGUGCCCCCCGAACUGUCUCCAUUAAUUUCAGCCAGCUCCUGCAGCCAACACCCCGACUACCCUUGGCGCGAACAACGAAGGUGAUGCACAAAGGCUUCCGCUUCAGAGCAGGAAAAGGAACAACGUACUGUCGGUACAUAUUACUUGUCAAAGUAAAUGCUUUCGAGAGCCCUUCACUGCAUCUUUUCAUGGUCUUCGUGUCUAAGAACCAUUUCGAGAAGCCCUGCUGUUCUAGCACCCUAAGAACAUACCGGAGGAUACGUGGAGACAGAUGAGAAGCAGAGUUUUUAUUUAUGUGGAGCAAGGCAGGCCUAGAUCUUUGACUAACACUAAGCAGAAUCCCUUAAUCACAGCAUCCUGAAGUCAUGUCAGGUGGAG
rnacentral:lncRNA from 1 species